UACAGAGGGUGCAAGCGUUGUUCGGAAUCAUUGGGCGUAAGAGCGUGUAGGCGGCCCGAUAAGUCCGCUGUGAAAGUCCAGGGCUCAACCCUGGAAUGCCGGUGGAUACUGUCGGGCUCGAAUCCGGAAGAGGUGAGUGGAAUUCCUGGUGUAGCGGUGAAAUGACGCAGAUAUCAGGAGGAACACCUGAGGUGAAGACGGGUUGCUGGGCCAACACUGACGCUGAUGCGCGAAAGCCAGGGAGCAAACGGG
rnacentral:rRNA from 1 species